GAUGAAGAACGUAGCGAAAUGCGAUACGUAAUGUGAAUUGCAGAAUUCAGUGAAUCAUCGAAUCUUUGAACGCAUAUUGCGCUCUCUGGUAUUCCGGAGAGCAUGCUUGUUUGAGUAUCAGUAAACACCUCAACUUCCAUAUCUUUUUUGAAAUGGGAGUUGGACUUGAGUGAUCCCAACGCUUUUCCUCACCGAAAAGUGGCGGGUUACUUGAAAUGCAGGUGCAGCUGGACUUUUCUCUGAGCUAUAAGCAUAUCUAUUUAGUCUGCCUAAAAAACAGAUUAUUACCUUUGCUGCAGCUAACAUAAAGGAGAUUAGUUCUUGUGCUGACUGAUGCAGGAUUCACAAAGACGGCUUCGGCCGACUUUGUAAACUCGAUCUCAAAUCAAGUAAGACUACCCGCUGAACUUAAGCAUAUCAAUGAGCGGAGGA
rnacentral:misc_RNA from 1 species